GAAGUGUUAGUAAAACAAUUACAUGGUCUUGUCAAGACCAAAUCACAGGUGAAACCCCAGUACACUUCU
rnacentral:tRNA from 1 species